GCCUCAGUCAGCAGCGCUCUGUCGUCCCUCUGGGUCAAACUCUCAGCAUGAGCUUCAGCCUGUUGGACAGCGAAACACCAUCAUAGUGAGAAGAAACCUGGCCACAUAUUUGGUUGCAGAAAAAAAACAAGAGAACAUAAAACAUUAAAGAACAACAGAGUGAGAGAACUCAAAAAAGCUCCUCUGCAGGAUUUGUCAACCUGUCUUCCAUCUUCCUCCACUACAAUCAGCAUCACCCUGUCACUUUUAUAACCCUCCCUUCCUCACCCCCUGCACUCCAUCUCCACAGCUCAUUUUCCUCGCUGACGUCGCCCCUCCUCCAACACUAGAGUACACUUUCUCUCUCUCUGCCUUCGCCUGAGUGAACUCAGCUCCUGACCAGUAAAAUCUAUUCUCUUGCACCUUCUCUCUGCUCAGUCACACAGGCAUUGUUAUGUUACACUGCAGACAGCCUCUGUUCAGCACACUCCCCUCUCC